AGAAUCAACGCUGGCGGCGUGCCUAACACAUGCAAGUCGCACGAGAAAAGGUAGCAAUACCUGAGUAAAGUGGCGCACGGGUGAGUAACACGUGACUAAUCUACCCUCGAGUGGGGAAUAACCUAGAGAAAUCUGGGCUAAUACCGCAUAACACUUACGAGUCAAAGCAGCAAUGCGCUUGGGGAGGAGGUCGCGGCCGAUUAGCCAGUUGGCGGGGUAAUGGCCCACCAAGGCGAUGAUCGGUA
rnacentral:rRNA from 1 species